rnacentral:rRNA from 1 species
CAGCACCUCAAGUGGUCAGGAUGAUUAUUGGGCCUAAAGCAUCCGUAGCCGGCUCUGUAAGUUUUCGGUUAAAUCUGUACGCUCAACGUACAGGCUGCCGGGAAUACUGCAGAGCUAGGGAGUGGGAGAGGUAGACGGUACUCGGUAGGAAGGGGUAGAAUCCUUUGAUCUAUUGAUGACCACCUGUGGCGAAGGCGGUCUACCAGAACACGUCCGACGGUGAGGGAUGAAAGCUGGGGGAGCAAACCGGAUUAGAUACCCGAGUAGUCC